ACCCACACAAGCGGUGGAUGAUGUGGAUUAAUUCGAUGCAACGCCGAAAAACCUUACCUACCCUUGACAUGUCCGGAAUCCUGCAGAGAUGCGGGAGUGCCGAAAGGGAAUCGGAACACAGGUGCUGCAUGGCUGUCGUCAGCUCGUGUCGUGAGAUGUUGGGUUAAGUCCCGCAACGAGCGCAACCCUUAUCAUUAGUUGCUACGCAAGGGCACUCUAAUGAGACUGCCGGUGACAAACCGGAGGAAGGUGGGGAUGACGUCAAGUCCUCAUGGCCCUUAUGGGUAGGGCUUCACACGUCAUACAAUGGUCGGUACAGAGGGUUGCCAAGCCGCGAGGUGGAGCCAAUCCCAGAAAGCCGAUCGUAGUCCGGAUUGUUCUCUGCAACUCGAGAGCAUGAAGUCGGAAUCGCUAGUAAUCGUGAAUCAGAAUGUCACGGUGAAUACGUUCCCGGGCCUU
rnacentral:rRNA from 1 species